rnacentral:tRNA from 1 species
GGGGAUAGCUCAGUGGUACAGUGCCUACCUAGCAAGCACAAGGUCCUGGGCUCAAUUCCUAGUAUCUCCA